UCAAGGACAGACUGGAAAUGGGUUGAGAGGACUUGGUCUUCUUAAGGUGGCCAGCAGCAGUGACCACGGCAGGGACUUCAGCAGCAUCAGCAGUAUCAGCAACCACCAAAGAGGGGAUCCGAGCACAGGGAUCCCCUCAAAAAGGGAAGAGGAUCUUUGUCAUGCAAUCUCAUCAAUGAGUAAUUGUUUCUCAAACCAUUACUUUCAAAUAUAUAUGUUUUUAUGGAACCAAACACUGUCCCCAAGUAUAGAAAAAGAAACAAAAAGGGGGUGGGGGAAACCCUCAUUGCCCAACCGAUAGUGUGUGCCCAAAUCAUUUUAGAGCCAACACGGGUUAUUCGUUGCAACUCCAAUUGAAAGCACAAUCAUGAGAAAGGGAUGAAUACAUCGUGAGACUGCUUUUUGUCUUAUGCAGUUCUGUAUACUUUGUCAUAAUGCCAAAGGUUAAUACAUCCUGUGGUCAAAAUAAGAUAGAAGACCAAACAUAAAUGAAGUAUCAUGUUUGAACUAUUUUAGAAAGCUAUGUUGAGUACUGGGACUUACAAUUAUAACUUGGAAAGAUGCACAAAAAGAAGCAAAAUGUUUUUUUUUUUUUGCUUUAUAGGAGUGGUAUAAUUGUUGUUGUUUUAAGUGAAGAUCUGUGACUUGAUAUCAUCAUCAAGUGUGACAUUUUUAGUUCUUUGCAGAUAAAAGCUUCCCGGAAGGAGUUAGACAGGAUGCUUCAAGAACAAAGGUCGUAUUCUGUACAAGGGAAAUUGCUAAAGUACAAUCUUGGUCCUGAAGUGGUUGAUGCUCUCAAGGAUCUUAGGAGGAAGCUGUCUGAAAAUGAGUCAUAACACUGUUCUUUUAAAGUAUAUUUUCUUGUUCUUUAUCAAGCUUGUGAAGAAGCAAACCGUUCGGCCAUCAGUAGUCUCUCUUUAUUAGUUUGCAUACUGACCAUUGCUUUUCUGGACUAAACUGUGGUUUCUUAUUGUACAAAUUGGUUGCGUUUGUAUGUGCAUGAGAAAACAAAAUAAGUUUGUCUCCCACCCCUCAACCCCCAAAAGAAUGGAAAAAGUAAACAUUUCAAAUUUUUGCACA